ACUUUGUCAUUACUUGUGGAGCUCUGAUCAGCACGGGUGGCGAUGCAGUCCCAAAUCCAAAAAGAGAUCCAUCAUGGAUUGUACGGGAGAUACCGGAUCUGAUGGCUGUAUGGGGAGACAAAUCUGUUCUAUCACAGCUCCGUUACAGAAGACGAAAUGCCAAAGCAUUUGAAAAAA